UGUUAUCUUUAUGGUUAAAGAGGUUUGGGCCUCCCUCUGUGAUAUUUAAAGGGACCCAAAGCCUACUAAUUUUAAUUUCAGUGGCUGCAGCUAGCAAGUAGUGGGAUUUAUUGACCUUGAGAUGACAUGCAUGAAAUGACAAAGUAUGAUGGGGACUUUGUCACAUCUCUGUGUCUUGGUUGGACAGUAGCUGUGACGUAUAUCUCAGACUUUUAGAUGUGGCAUUUCCCUCCCCCGCCCUGAGGAUGGAUAUCAUCUGGAGGACACUGAUGCAGUAGAGGGUAGCAUACCCGGUCACUUGCACAAGAGGAAAAAAAAGAGGAAGAAAGAAACAAGAUGAAAGGAAAAAGAGUCUAGGCUGCUCAAGCUGCAGGGAGUUGAAGGUGUACAUCUCCUUUUUGACACCCUGGAUAUUCCCCAAACACGCUGGGCUGACUUAGUGGCCAUCUGUCUGAAUUGACUGUGUUGUCCUCGGCUCAAAUGACCACCCAGCCUGAACUCUGCAAGGGGGGGCUGCCUGGCUGCGGUUAGUUUCUUCCCCAAAUAGCUCUAAAGUGUGGCUUGCUGUGUGCUUUAAGUAAAAUUAUGCUACUGUUCAGUUCUCCACUUGAUUAAAAUAUAUCUUUCAGCAUUUAAAGGUGGGCAGCGACUUCCUGGGAUUAGAAAGGGAAGUGAACUGGUUGGAAAGCAGCAAGGAAAGAAGUUGUUUACGAGUAGUGUGAGGGCAGAGUAGUCUGUGUUGCUGAAAUCUGGGGCUUGGCCACAUUACUCAACUCCAGUUGCAGAUCUACUAAAUUCACUCAGAGUCCCGUUUUCUUUCUUAAUAGUACACACAGGGACAUUUUUACCAGAAGAGUGAUUCAUCUGCUGUGGUAUUCCAGAUAAAUUUCAGGAGAGCAAGGCUCCCUUGGGCUGACACUGUGAUCAUUUGCCUCAGGACAAAUGCCCUCCCAGCCUGUUAAGCUGGCUGAACACAGGCUUCUCAAGAUUUGGACUUUUUCAACAUGUAAGAUUUCACUCAGCAUAACAGUUUUUCUUCCCAUAAUAAAUGUUUUGAACAGCUUUGGAAGUCCUUGCAUUCUCACGAUUGCAGCGGGGUGCCAUUCUCCCUGGGCUUCAGCUGCUGACAGAGGAGCUCCGUGCAGGGUUCUUGUCAAGGAGAGGCAUCACUAUCCACGGGAAGUACAAGUAUUAUAAACUCUUCAAUACAGUCACUACUGAACAGGGCUGUGUGAAAUAAUUUAUAGAAAUGGAAGGCUUGGCUGUUUUCAAGGCACAAGGGUUGCAGUGGCUGCCAGCUUAAUGAAAAAGUGUCGUUCUAGUCUCUGUUUCUGUUUCAAAAAGAAAUAAGUUGAUAAAACAAACCUAUUUCAAGUCUUUUAAUGAGCAAUUGUUUAAAGUGAUAAAAACAUUUGCUUCCUGAAAAACUUAAUAGCUGAUUUAUUGCCUUUUUUUUUUUUAAUAAAUAAGUGUAUGUAUGGCCUAGAAUAUGCAAACAAGGUCUUUACAACCUCCAGAGUCAUUGGAGUGGACUGUAACAUCCCCUUACAAGUAGAGGCCAGGAUUUCUGGGGUUUGGCCCAGGCUAUGACACAGACUUGUUUUCUGCCACUAGCAAUUGAUAUCAUUCUCUUUUUUCUGUCAGAUGAGUAGGAUAACAUUCUCAGAUGCACUGGAAUCUAAUCAAUUUUUGUAAAACAUCUUAAGACCUUUGAAUGAAAAACAAUGUCUGUACAUAUUGAGUCUACUAUUUAUGAAAUUUUGAGCAUAUUUUCUGGCUCAAUAUAUUUGCAACUUUUCAGAAAUAAAAUCAAGAACAUCCCAGUUGAAAAAAAAAGA